UAAUUAAUGAAUGCAUUAAUUAUAUGCAUUAAAAUUUAAUAUUACAUUCAAAUCAUGUUACUUGUUCUUAUCCUUCUAAUGUUCUGCAGCAGUAUUUUCAAUGUGCUGCAACAGUAUCAGUAUAAUUAUUAAAUAAUAUUAUUGUAUAAUGCUUAACGUACUAUAACAGUAUUUGUAUUUUCCUACAAAAAUGUUACAUUAUAAAAUCAUUUU
rnacentral:lncRNA from 1 species